GACGAACGCUGGCGGCGUGCCUAAUACAUGCAAGUAGAACGCUGAAGGGAGGAGCUUGCUCUUCUUGGAUGAGUUGCGAACGGGUGAGUAACGCGUAGGUAACCUGCCUUGUAGCGGGGGAUAACUAUUGGAAACGAUAGCUAAUACCACAUAACAAUGGGUGACUCAUGUCAUUUAUUUGAAAGGGGCAAAUGCUCCACUACAAGAUGGACCUGCGUUGUAUUAGCUAGUAGGUGAGGUAACGGCUCACCUAGGCGACGAUACAUAGCCGACCUGAGAGGGUGAUCGGCCACACUGGGACUGAGACACGGCCCAGACUCCUACGGGAGGCAGCAGUAGGGAAUCUUCGGCAAUGGGGGCAACCCUGACCGAGCAACGCCGCGUGAGUGAAGAAGGUUUUCGGAUCGUAAAGCUCUGUUGUAAGUCAAGAACGAGUGUGAGAGUGGAAAGUUCACACUGUGACGGUAGCUUACCAGAAAGGGACGGCUAACUACGUGCCAGCAGCCGCGGUAAUACGUAGGUCCCGAGCGUUGUCCGGAUUUAUUGGGCGUAAAGCGAGCGCAGGCGGUUUGAUAAGUCUGAAGUUAAAGGCUGUGGCUCAACCAUAGUUCGCUUUGGAAACUGUCAAACUUGAGUGCAGAAGGGGAGAGUGGAAUUCCAUGUGUAGCGGUGAAAUGCGUAGAUAUAUGGAGGAACACCGGUGGCGAAAGCGGCUCUCUGGUCUGUAACUGACGCUGAGGCUCGAAAGCGUGGGGAGCGAACAGGAUUAGAUACCCUGGUAGUCCACGCCGUAAACGAUGAGUGCUAGGUGUUGGAUCCUUUCCGGGAUUCAGUGCCGCAGCUAACGCAUUAAGCACUCCGCCUGGGGAGUACGACCGCAAGGUUGAAACUCAAAGGAAUUGACGGGGGCCCGCACAAGCGGUGGAGCAUGUGGUUUAAUUCGAAGCAACGCGAAGAACCUUACCAGGUCUUGACAUCCCGAUGCUAUUUCUAGAGAUAGAAAGUUACUUCGGUACAUCGGUGACAGGUGGUGCAUGGUUGUCGUCAGCUCGUGUCGUGAGAUGUUGGGUUAAGUCCCGCAACGAGCGCAACCCCUAUUGUUAGUUGCCAUCAUUCAGUUGGGCACUCUAGCGAGACUGCCGGUAAUAAACCGGAGGAAGGUGGGGAUGACGUCAAAUCAUCAUGCCCCUUAUGACCUGGGCUACACACGUGCUACAAUGGUUGGUACAACGAGUUGCGAGUCGGUGACGGCAAGCUAAUCUCUUAAAGCCAAUCUCAGUUCGGAUUGUAGGCUGCAACUCGCCUACAUGAAGUCGGAAUCGCUAGUAAUCGCGGAUCAGCACGCCGCGGUGAAUACGUUCCCGGGCCU
rnacentral:rRNA from 1 species